rnacentral:rRNA from 1 species
UACGUAGGGACCAAGCGUUGUUCGGAUUUACUGGGCGUAAAGGGCGCGUAGGCGGCAAUUCAAGUCAUCUGUGAAAUCUCCGGGCUUAACUCGGAACGGUCAGAUGAUACUGCUUUGCUCGAGUGCGGAAGGGGCAAUCGGAAUUCCUGGUGUAGCGGUGAAAUGCGCAGAUAUCAGGAGGAACACCGGUGGCGAAGGCGGGUCUCUGGGCCGAUACUGACGCUGAGGAGCGAAAGCGUGGGGAGCGAACAGG